rnacentral:rRNA from 1 species
UACGGAGGGAGCUAGCGUUGUUCGGAUAUACUGGGCGUAAAGCGCGCGUAGGCGGCGCCGUAAGUCAGGGGUGAAAUCCCGGAGCUCAACUCCGGAACUGCCCUUGAAACUGCAGUGCUAGAAUCUUGGAGAGGCGAGUGGAAUUCCGAGUGUAGAGGUGAAAUUCGUAGAUAUUCGGAAGAACACCAGUGGCGAAGGCGACUCGCUGGACAAUUAUUGACGCUGAGGUGCGAAAGCGUGGGGAGCAAACAGG